GUAGUAACAGAGAGUUUGAUUAUGGCUCCAGAUUGAACGCUGGCCGGGAUGCUUUACAUACCAGUCGAACGACAGCACGGACUUCGGUCUGGUGGCAGGUGGCGAACGGGUGAGUAAUGUAUCGGAACGUGCCUAGUAGCGGGGGAUAACUACGCGGCGUAGCUAAUGCCACAUACGCCCUUCGAGAAGCGGGGACAUUGGGCCUCGCACUAUUAGAACCGGCCGAUAUCGGAUUAGCUAGUUGGUGGGGUAACGGCUCACCAAGGCGACGAUCCGUAGCUGGUUUGAAGGACGACCAGCCACACUGGGACUGAAGACACGGCCCAGACUCCUACGAAGGUAGCGGUGAAAUUUUUGGACAAUGGGGAAACCCUGAUCCAGCCAUCCCGCGUGUGCGAUGAAGGCCUUCGGGUUGUAAAGCACUGGCAGGAAAGAAACGGCACGGGAUAAUACCGUGCAACUGACGUACCUGCAGAGAGUAACACCGGCUAACUACGUGCCAGCAGCCGCGGUAAUACGUAGGGUGCAAGCGUUAAUCGGAAUUACUGGGCGUAAAGCGUGCGCAGGCGGUUCGGAAGAAAGAUGUGAAAUCCCAGAGCUUAACUUUGGAACUGCAUUUUUAACUACCGAGAGCCAGAGUGUGUCAGAGGGAGGUGGAAUUUACCGUGUAGCAGUGAAAUGCGUAGAUAUGCGGAGGAGCACCGAUGGCAGGCAGCCUCCUGGGAUAACACUGACGCUCAUGCACGAAAAGCGUGGGGAGCAAACAGGAUUAGAUGCCUGGUCCCUUACAAACGAUGUCAGCUAGCUGUUGAGACCUUGGACCUUGGUAGCGCAGCUAACGUGAUUGACCGCCUGGGGAGUACGGUCGCAAGAUUAAAACUCAAAGGAAUUGACGGGGACCCGCACAAGCGAUGGAUGAUGCUGGUUAAUUCGAUGCAACGCGAAAAACCUUACCUACCCUUGACAUGUCUGGAAUCUCCGAAGAGAUUUGGGAGUGCUCGCAAGAGAACCGGAACACUGGUGCUGUAUGUCGUCAGCUGGUAGUCGAGAUGUUGGGUUAAGUCCGCAACAGCGCAACCCUUGUCAUUAGUUGCUACGAAAGGGCACUCUAAUGAGACUGCCGGUGACAAACCGGAGGAAGGUGGGGAUGACGUCAAGUCCUCAUGGCCCUUAUGGGUAGGGCUUCACACGUCAUACAAUGGUCGGGACAGAGGGUCGCCAACCCGCGAGGGGGUAAUCCCAGAAACCCGAUCGUAGUCCGGAUCGCAGUCUGCAACCCGACUGCGGCGUGAAGUCAGAAUCUUUGUUAAUCGCGGAUCAGCAUGUCGCGGUGAAUACGUUCCCGGGUCUUUACCGCCCGUCUUUACAUGGGGUGGUUACCAGAUGGUGCUUCAACGUAAGGAGGGCGAUUACCACGGUAGGAUUCAUGACUGAGGUGUAUGAAGUCGUAACAAGGUAG
rnacentral:rRNA from 1 species